GCCCCGGUAGUUCAAUUGGAUAGAAUAUCGGUCUUCGAAACCGAGGGUUGCAGGUUCGAGUCCUGCCCGGGGCGC
rnacentral:tRNA from 1 species